rnacentral:rRNA from 1 species
AGUGAACGCUGGCGGCAUGCCUAACACAUGCAAGUCGAACGGCGGCACAGUAAGAUCUUGCUCUUACGGGUGGCGAGUGGCGGACGGGUGAGAAAUACAUCGCCAUCUACUUUUUCUUGGGUGAUAACGUGGGGAAACAGAUGCUAACACCGCAUAUGUUCUACGGGUGAGAGCAAAGGAUCAUCGCACCUUUCGCGUCAGUUAGAGCUGAUUCCGGGCUGGAUUAGCUAGUUGGUAAGGGAACGGCACACCAAGGCAACGAUGCGUAGCCGAUCUGAGAGGAUGAUCGGCCACACUGGAACUGAGACACGGUCCAGACUCCUACGGGAGGCAGCAGUGGGGAAUAUUGGACAAUGGGCGAAAGCCUGACGCAGCAAUACCGCGUGGGUGAUGAAGGUCUUCGGAUCGUAAAGCCCUGUUAUUAGGGAAGAAAAGAUGUGGAAGAAUACCCCGCUGUUCUGACGGUACCCAAACAGAAAGCCACGGCUAACUUCGUG